rnacentral:rRNA from 2 species
UAGCAUGGCGCGCGCUACCAUGCAGUCGAACGAUGAACCGGUUUCGGCCGGGGAUUAGUGGCGAACGGGUGAGUAACACGUGGGCAAUCUGCCCUGCACUCUGGGACAAGCCCUGGAAACGGGGUCUAAUACCGGAUACUGACCUUCACGGGCAUCCGUGGGGGUCGAAAGCUCCGGCGGUGCAGGAUGAGCCCGCGGCCUAUCAGCUUGUUGGUGAGGUAAUGGCUCACCAAGGCGACGACGGGUAGCCGGCCUGAGAGGGCGACCGGCCACACUGGGACUGAGACACGGCCCAGACUCCUACGGGAGGCAGCAGUGGGGAAUAUUGCACAAUGGGCGGAAGCCUGAUGCAGCGACGCCGCGUGAGGGAUGACGGCCUUCGGGUUGUAAACCUCUUUCAGCAGGGAAGAAGCGAAAGUGACGGUACCUGCAGAAGAAGCGCCGGCUAACUACGUGCCAGCAGCCGCGGUAAUACGUAGGGCGCAAGCGUUGUCCGGAAUUAUUGGGCGUAAAGAGCUCGUAGGCGGCUUGUCGCGUCGGUUGUGAAAGCCCGGGGCUUAACCCCGGGUCUGCAGUCGAUACGGGCAGGCUAGAGUUCGGUAGGGGAGAUCGGAAUUCCUGGUGUAGCGGUGAAAUGCGCAGAUAUCAGGAGGAACACCGGUGGCGAAGGCGGAUCUCUGGGCCGAUACUGACGCUGAGGAGCGAAAGCGUGGGCAGCGAACAGGAUUAGAUACCCUGGUAGUCCACGCCGUAAACGGUGGGCACUAGGUGUGGACAACAUUCCACGUUGUCCCG